GACGAACGCUGGCGGCGUGCUUAACACAUGCAAGUCGAACGGUGAACUCCGCUUGCGGGGGGAUCAGUGGCGAACGGGUGCGUAACACGUGGGCAACCUGCCCUCAGCUCUGGGAUAACUCCAAGAAAUUGGGGCUAAUACCGGAUAUGACCGCUGACCGCAUGGUCUGGUGGUGGAAAGAUUUAUCGGCUGGGGAUGGGCCCGCGGCCUAUCGGCUUGUUGGUGGGGUAGUGGCCUACCAAGGCGACGCCGGGUAGCCGGCCUGAGAGGGUGACCGGCCACACUGGGACUGAGGCACGGCCCAGACUGCAACAGUAGGAAGGGGAGGGGAACCUGGCCCUACACGCGAGGGCAAGACGAACAGACGCCCCGCGGGGGAUGACGGCUUGCGGGUAGUAAACAUCUUUCAGCUGAGACGAGGCGAAAGUGACGGUACCUGCAGAAUAAGCACCGGCCAACUACGUG
rnacentral:rRNA from 1 species